UGUACAUGGUAAGUGAUAUCAAAUGUCUUUCUCUUUUCCCCUCUCUGUAGCCCUAUGAUGUCAACUUACAAGUCACCUCGGUCUUAUCUAGACUCUCUCUCUUCCCCCACCCACACGUUCACGAAUACCUUUUGGAUCCCUACGUGAACCUUGCUUCUGGCUGUAGAUCUCUCUUCUCUGUCAUCGUCAGGGUGGUUGGAGACCUGAUGGUUCGAAUCCAGCGCAUUCAAGACUUUACUCCCAAACUUCUGUUGGUCAGAAAACGUUUACUUGGUCUGGAACCUGAAGGUCCCAUCAUCGACCACAUCACCUUGCUUGAGGGCGUGAUCGUGUUAGAAGAAUUCUGCAAGGAGCUGGCAGCCAUUGCCUUUGUGAAGUACCACGCUUCCUCCACACCCUAAGCCGCGCCAUUGGAGCAACUCGAGGGACAGAACUGUUGCACAUGGAUUUCCUCAGAACCGGCUCUAUCCCACCCAGCUCAGCGGGGACUUAAAGGCUUUUUUAAAUGAAGCAUUGCUGUCAACUGGACGGAACCAUUAAGAACCGACUGAAUGGACAUUCUUAGUGGUAGAAUGUUUUCAUUGGCUCUAUCUUAAUGGUUCUCGAUAUACUACAAUUGCACGUCAUUGAGUCCAGGAUCCAAUCAAAGGAACUUCAGGAAAUAAGCAUUUCUAAUGACUGUGUGAAAAGCUGCAAAAUUUCUGAUGUCAUGACUUUGAUAUUUCUGUUAUUUUAAUAUCUUUUAGGUAGCAAGGCAUUUUGACAUUCUCUGGGACUCAGAUGCUUAUAUUGUUUUGGAUUAUGAGUCGCCAAAAAAAAAAAUCACUAAUUUUAUAACCUUUUUCAGGUCAGAAUUCUUAUCAAACAGACUAUGAGGAGAAAUUAUAGAUUACAAAAAGAGACAGUUCAGGAACCAUCAAAUAAAAUGACUUCCUCAUAGGAGCUGAUCAUUCAAGACAAAAGUGUGUAGCGCACCAUUAACUUCAGCUUUUCUAAGAAUAGCAAUUUAAUAUGAUAAAUUCUUGAUUAAUAUAAUAUAUAUAUAUAUAUUUUUAAAGCGUUCUUUUCCUCUUGUGUCCACCACCGUGUUAGUGAUUGAUUUUCAUGUGGGUCCCAGCUUAUGUAAACUAUCAUUCUUGCCACAGUGUUGAAUUUAUGUUCAGCACCAGUAGUGUUUGCUAAAAGACUCAAACCCCUCACUGUCAUUGUUGCUUCCAACUUAGCUACCCUGUCAUGACAGAGUCCAGCUGCCUGGGAGGGUUUCCAAGGCCACAAAUCCUGAGGGAAGCAGUUGGCCACCCCUUUCCCCUGUGGUUCAGCUGAUGGGUUCCAUUCGAACCACUGACCUUUCAGUUCUCGGCCGAGUGAGCACUUUAACCACUGCACCACUGGGGCUCCUCUUUGAUCGAGUAUCUCGUACAGCUGAUUAGCAUGUAUGGAGGUGAGAACCUACCUUUUCCCCUCUUGCUCGCUCUCUCUGAAAGUCGCUUUAUAAGUUGCUUUAGGACUUGAUUUCAGAUGAAAACCUAUGGUAGUGCCUAAGCAAGGGACUGGCUGGUAAGCUUAGGCAACAAUCAAAAUGCCAGGGCCUCCCGAAUGUUUACAUUGCUCUUCCUGUGCCCGGUCAUUUGUUUCAAAUGAUCCUAAAAGAGAGAAACAAAACGAGCACCAGUCUUGUAAAUGCCCUGUUUACAUAUUAACGGAUUUUGGUAAAUUGGGUCUCGAUGUGAGUGGAUCUUGGUGGGGGAGGGUGCGUGUGUGGGUCGGUUAGCAAAGGCGUGCUGGGCACAGCCUGCGAAGGGUGACUGACCAACGUGGUGUCUGCUGGGUCAUUGCUUAGUCUGUGUUUCAGUGACGCUCAUCACUCAAGUAUUGCUUGUAUACUCUCUCACUUUUUUUCUUUAAGUUGAACUUUUAAGCAGCAGCACUUUCUUUCCACACCGGUCUCUGAGGGAGGAGGAGACCGAACUCUCCAUCUUGAGAAGACCGGCCUGCCUCCAAAGCCACUUCCGGUCACCCGUGUCCUCCGCCCAGAGGCGAGGUGGUUGACGGCUGCUCGUCCUGCUGUGCACGAUUGGCUUCGUCCUUCAGAACAAGGAUCAAAGAGCACGAGCCUUCUCCGCUCUGGAGAAACACCACAAAGAGCCUCAGUGUUUAAUGAGCUGCAAAUCCCUCUUCGCAUCUCCUACGACAUGCCUGCAGCAAGACCAUGAAAAACAAAGCGUGCCAUGGUUACUGCUUGCGUGCUUUUGACUUGAUUUUCCUGCUGGGAAAGCAUACUUCUGUUUGCCGUGUCUGUCCAUCCGGUCGUCCGUGCAUGCAAAGCACUAGCUCCUACAGCAUCUCCACGCUCGGAGGUGGACGCAGCUGGAGGUGUGUCUGAAACCAGGCAUGAAGAGAAGGGAGAUGCCAUCAGGGGUUCACGGCAUGGGCAGGAGGGGUGACGGCAGUGACUCGCCCUCUCACACCAAAAAUACAUUUCAUCCCGAUUUCCAGGGGGACCCGGGAGCGAGUCGUGGCACUACGCCCAGAAAGCUUUAACCCGUGUAUUUUGGGGGUGCGUGCUGCUUCUAAAAUCAUAACUAAGUUAUUUCUGAUGACUUUGCUUUUAAUCAGCUAAAACUUUAAGGUAUAAGUAUUUUAGAAAUAAUGGUGUCUCUUAAAGAGUAUCUUAUGGACAUCCCCAAUCUCCCACCUCCCUUCCCUCCCACCCCAAUUAUUUAGUUCAGACCUAGAGCCAGCACAAGUUCUCCUAGCGAACUGGAUUUGUUGGUGAAACAUUGUUCCACCUCACCCGUUCUUGUCUUCACGUCUCUGGGGCCCGAAGAUGUACAAGACUCAGUGCUCGCACACUGUGACCAAAAUGUGCUGCGCGUGGUGGGGUGGAAGAUACCCCCUCGCCACUUCCAGUUGUUAGGAUAGCAAGUUCCAAACGGAAGUCAGUCUCACUUCAUAGUUGUAUAAAUCUGGAUGCACAUUUUUUGUUUUUCUCCUUAAUUUUUCUCCCAGUCUUUGGGUUUAUGCUUAAUAAUGAGCCACCUGCUUGGCGGAACCGGAUCUGUCCUUAGCUGAUUGUCACAGUAGUUAGUGCUCACGGCGUCACUAUGUCACCUUCUCACGGAGUCUCUGCCUGUGCAAUAUAGAAGCUAUGCGUGGACUCAUAGCUUUUUGGUUGGGGGUGGGUUGUGGGUUUUUUUGUACAUUGUGUGUGUACAUAUAUGUGUAUAUGUAUAUAUCUCUAUAUAUAAGGACCAAAAUCCUUAGCUUGCUUACACUGCUGCUAGUGUAAAGAUUGUUACACUUCAUUUUACGGGGCACAAAUUCCAAAACGACUUCAUAAAUUCUUGGUAACGUAUUCCCAUAAAUUAUUGCAUUCCUCUAUACCUACCAGUGAAUUAUGAAGUUCACAGGCAAUGAAGGCCCAGGGAAGUUCUAAAUGUGGUCCUUCUCCUUUAGGUUGUACACGAAAUCAGAAUAUGCAUGUCAUGGUGAAACUCCAUGUGAACACAUGCCAGGCAAUGUUCCUGGGCCCCGUAAAAUAGUGUUACUGUAAUACUCUGUUUUGCCUCCUGCCUUGUUUACAUUAAACAGGAUCAUUGGUAGGUUGUUCUAUUGAGCAUCCUGGAGGUCACUGACAGUGUUAACCAAGGUGUGGCAUCUGUGGCUCAUCACCAAGAAAUGGCAGAUGGUGGCUGCGUGCCUACUCUCCCUUCUCGGAAGGACGUUGUGAUCAAGUUCAGCUUCUUGUGCUAACAAUGCAUGCAGGACUAUGAGGGAUCAUCUAAGAAUAAAUCAUGUUAAU